CUCACGUGGUCCAGCAGCGGACGGAGGCGCGGCCCCAGCUCCGAGCUCAGGAGCCGCACAGGCGCCCGGGGCCGUAGCAAGAGCCUCUUCAGGGCGCCCAGAGCUGCACCCACGAGCCGCGCGUCGCCUUCGCCCAGUGCGCCCAGCAGUGCCGGCAGCAGCGCGCUCACGUGCCGCACCUGCAGGGACUCGUGGUCAGCCUCUCGCAGACCUUGCCGCGGCCGGGUCAGGCUGCCCUCCGCCCCUUCCCUUGUCUCACCUUCCUGCGAUUCAGCGCGAGGUGGCCCAGGCCCAGCAGGCCCAACCAGCGCACGGUGGGCUCGGGGUCUCCCUGCCAGGUGAGAAGUCGCUCCAGGAUAACCUCCUCCCGCAGGAGCCGUGCGGUCGGCCGGCUCUGCAACAGCUAGGCGAGGCACACGGGGUCAGCUGCUGCGGCUUAGGAUCAAGUCCACAGUCACCCUUCGCCACCCAUUCGGGAAGCAGGCUCACCCCGGUGAAGAAGGCCAUAGCCGUGAGGCGCUGCGGGUCGUCGGCGCUGCGCAGCCGGGGAAGCAAGUCCGCGAAGAGGCCUCGCAGCGCCAGCACCUGGCCAGCAACGAGUCUCCUCCCGGUGUGACAUCCUGCGGCCCCUCCUCACCUCGCCAGCAGCAGGACACCCUCCAGGUGGGUGUGGGCUCCCACCAGCCUCCUCCAGCCUCCCGCCUGCUCCAUGCACGUGACCACCAUGCGGCCUCCAUCCCCAGUGAGCAGAGCCUUCAAGGCCUCCACAGCGCAGCUGGCGGUGGGGACAGUGAGCAGGUGGGCGGUGGGGCUGAGAGGGUGGCAGCAUGCUGGCCCGUCCCACAUACCCUGGUGUUGCCUCUCACCUGGCAUGGCUGUGUGGUGGCCCUCGGUGGGACAGAAUCCAAAUCUUGGGCAUGUCAGGGGAGCGAGGGCUGCGGGCCAGCUCGUGCAGCUGUGUGACUAGUGCAAGCAGCAGAUGAGAGUAGAAGCCCCUUGUGGCUCCCACGCAGCCUGAAACAGCCAGCAUCUCCCCAAGAGCACGAGUGGCCUGUGGAGCAAGUGGCUCACUCAGGCCCUGGGCGCCAGGAGUUGUGUUGGACAGCAGAGGGACAGGCAUGCCAUAGACAGGGCAGGGACUAAGCCUCAGACACGCAUGGGACAUUCCCGGAGGAGUGACCCAGGUGCAGACUCCCAGUCACCGCCCUCCUCCCCACCACCCUGCGCCCGUGCCUGGGUAAUGGCUGGAGCCACCUACCGCCAGUGCCUGGGGCUCAGACCCUGAAGCACCCUUCAGUGCCCACAGCAGUUGUACCAGCACCUGCCCAUUUACACGCUGGUUACGGCUUAGGCUGCGCCAGAGCUCGGCCGCUGCCCUGAGGGUUUGGAGGGGGCUGGUGUGAGACAAGGGAUGGUGCAGGGUGGCUGUCGAGGAGAGGUAAGGGGUCCCCAGCUAGGGUGGAGGCAGCCACUAGGACUCCAGCAGGGGAGGAGCAGGAAACCACUACCCUGGUCUCCCCCACCCCUGAAUCCCAAAUAAACAAAUGAAGUGUUA